rnacentral:rRNA from 1 species
AACGAACGCUGGCGGCAGGCUUAACACAUGCAAGUCGAGCGCCCCGCAAGGGGAGCGGCAGACGGGUGAGUAACGCGUGGGAAUCUACCCAUCUCUACGGAAUAACGCAUGGAAACGUGUGCUAAUACCGUAUACGUCCUUCGGGAGAAAGAUUUAUCGGAGAUGGAUGAGCCCGCGUUGGAUUAGCUAGUUGGUGGGGUAAAGGCCUACCAAGGCGACGAUCCAUAGCUGGUCUGAUAGGAUGAUCAGCCACACUGGGACAGAGACACGGCCCAGACUCCUACGGGAGGCAGCAGUGGGGAAUAUUGGACAAUGGUCGCAAGCCUGAUCCAGCCAUGCCGCGUGAGUGAUGAAGGCCCUAGGGUUGUAAAGCUCUUUCACCGGUGAAGAUAAUGACGGUAACCGGAGAAGAAGCCCCGGCUAACUUCGUGCCAGCCGCCGCCGUAACAC